rnacentral:rRNA from 1 species
UACGGAGGGGGCUAGCGUUGUUCGGAAUUACUGGGCGUAAAGCGCGCGUAGGCGGACCUGCAAGUCGGGGGUGAAAGCCCGAGGCUCAACCUCGGAACUGCCUUCGAUACUGCGGGUCUCGAGUCCGGGAGAGGUGAGUGGAAUUCCUAGUGUAGAGGUGAAAUUCGUAGAUAUUAGGAAGAACACCAGUGGCGAAGGCGGCUCAGCUGGCCCGGUACUGACGCUGAGGCGCGAAGCGUGGGGAGCAAACAGG